UAAGGGACGCUCCGCUGCCUCUGCCUCUCCAGACGCCCUCUGGCCGCGGCAGCUGAACGAUGGCAGACGAAAGGCUCCCCGAGACCGCGGUUGACAAAUUCUCUUACGAUUAUGAAACCAUUCGCAAUGGGGGCCUGAUCUUUGCGGUUGUGGCCUUUCUGAUUGGACUUGCCAUCAUCCUCAGUCGGCGUUUCCGCUGUGGAGGAAAGAGGAAGCGAAGGCAAGCAGAUGAUGAAGAUGACGCAGUCUGAACUCUGGUAUGUUUGCUGAGGGGCCUCAGAGGUGCCUUUCCUCUGGCAACAGCUUGAAGGGGCUCUAGCCAGCACUCCUCUGACCAGCCGAUGAGGUCCCUGCUGAGCCAAAGGGAUAGGCCCAUCACAGCAGCCAAAUCUUUUGCACUCGACAAAUGAACAGAGCAGCUUUCUGAUUUCGGAGCUGCACCCAGUCUGCCUGGAAUUCUCUUUCUGUAAAACAGAUUGCUUUCUUCUGUGCUUUAUUUAAUAAAAUGUCCAUUAGGGAAGAAUGA